UUCAGAUGCAGAAGACCUUAGAGACGCUGUGGGAGGAUAUCUCUCCUCUCCCUGGGCUCAAGGCAUGCAAAGCGCUACCUUUUCUGGUCUUGACAUACAGAGGACCCAGGUUCAAUUCCUAACAUCCACCUAACAACUCACAACUGUUUGCAACUCCAAUUCCAGAGGAAGCAGCACCCUCACACAGAUACAUAGACAGAAUCUGAACCCUUCUCAAAGAGUCAGUGACUGAAGGAAAGCGUGGAAAGCCCAGAGGACAAACCUCUUCCUCUUCAUGUGAGGAAACUAAUAGAGAAAUCUUGUAAUGAGCCCCAGCCCACACAUCCUGCUUCUUGUGUCCACUGCGGGGUUUCAGCUCCAGACCGCAUCAGACUGCUGAAGCUUGAGUUAUGUCACUUCAUUCUGCCAUGGUGCUGGCCCUCGGUGAGUCCCGGAACAACAGGAGGGAUGGGGUAGGUGAUUUGGGGAAUGGAGUCUAUUUCCCACUCAGGCUUGAAACCAGCUAAGCACAUUCUGGAGUCCCCUGGAAGGAGCCUCUCUCCACUCCGACCCCUACUUGGGGUUUUCACUGCAGACUUAUUGCUAGAAACAGAGAUGGGGCAUGUGGCCCAGUUCAGCUUUAAAAGGAGUGAGUAAGGGCUUUUUUGGAAGGGAAGGUGACCUGAGAACAUUUUUCCCCAGUGUUGGAGGUUGAGCUUAGAGUCCAAUACGUUAGGUAAACACAAUACCACAGAAUCGUAUUUCCUAAAUCCAAAUACUCUUUUUAUUUUUUAAGAUCACAGAUGUUGCAUGCUGUUGAGUACCCUUGUUCAGAAAUUCUUUUAUUUUUAAGAAACUUUUAUUAGUUCUUUGAGAGUUCCUUACUUGACUCAUACUGAACUCUUCCAAGAUCGACCCCUCUUCCCUACCCACUUAACUUUGUGUCCCUCUUUUUCUAAAAACCUUUACUACCAAUCUGUGCUGCCCGAAUAUUCUCGAAUUCAUGGUCUAGCACUGGAGCAUGGUUGACUUUUUAGAGAUUGCACUUCUGCACUUCUUCAGUUUUUUAAAGAGACACUCUCUUACUGUGUAGCUCUGGCUGUUCUAGAACUCACUAUGGAGACUAGCCUAAAUUAGGAACUCACAGAGAUCACCUGCCUCUGCCUCUCAAAUGCUAAAGGUGUGUUCCACUACUCCUGAUUCCAGGGGCUACACUCUUAAAGAAAACUGAGUCUCCCUCUUCCAGCAUCCAGGAAUUCCCAUUAGCUCCAAGGCUAAAACAGGGAGAAUUUGCCUAAAUUUCCUUUCAGUUCUGGGAUUUUGUCUGGCUUGGUUAUACACAGGUCUUGUGCAUGCUAUGAGUUAACAUGUGCAGCUGCCCUCUGUGAUCAGGACACCCUGUAGUCCCCCAAAGUCAUCUACUGCUUCUGGCUUUUGUGAUUUUUCCACCACUUCUUCCUAAAUGACUUCUGAGUCUUGGGAGGAGGAGAUGUAUGGCGUGUAUGCUCCCUUUAAGGUUGAGCAUUCUGCAAACUUAGUCUCUACCCCUUGGUCAGUCAUGUGUCUCUGUGUUAAUCUCCAUCAACUGCAAAUAAAAGCUUCUCAGAUGAGGGGUGCGGAAUGCAUUUAUCCAUGGGCAUAAUGAGGAAUAUAUUUUUGCUAUUACAUAUAUUUAAAAUAUCUUUUUGAUAAUUUUAUAGGUGCAUGCAGUAUAUUUUGAUCAUAUCCAUACCCAUUCUUGCCUGUAACACUACACCAAUUCCCUCUCCCCCUCUGCUUUGUGUCUCCUUUUUACAAACAAUAAUCCAGUGAAUAUAGUUUAUGCUAUUCAUAUACUCAAGGCAAUGGGGCUAUCUACUGGACCCUGGUCACACCCUUAGAGAAAAUUGACUCUUUGUUCCCCAGAAACCACCAACUUUCAAUAGUCCCUCAGCUAAGACCUUUUGAACCUUUCUCCCAUACAUCCCAGCCCUCAUUUUACUUUUUCUCAGUUUUUUCCAUUUAUUUUAUGGGCCUCUCAUACAGUAUAUCCUGACAGAAGUUUCCUCCCUCCAUCGCUCCCAUUUCCCCCCCUUACCCAGUCUUCCCCAGAUCCUCUGCUGUGUCCCUUUAGAAAAGAGCAGUUCUCACAGUAAUAUCAACCAAAUAUGGCAUGACAUGAUGCAAUACGACUAGGAGCAAACCCUCAUAUCAAGGCUCGACAAGACAACCUAGUAGGAGUGAAGAGUUCUAAGGGCAGGCAAAAGAGUCAGAGGCACAUCAGCUCCUACUGUUAGGAGUUUCACAAAAACCCCAAGAUAAGCAACUCUAAUGUAUAUACAGAGGACCUAGGCAGACCCAUGCAGGUUCUGAGACUUUUGCUUCAGUCUUUGUGAGGCCCUAUGAACCCUGUUUAGUUGAUUCUGUGCGCCAUAUUCUCUUGGUGUCCUCAACCCUUCAGACUCCUGAAAUCCUUCUUCUCAUUGGGGGUUCUCUGAGCUCCACCUAGUGAUUGACUGUGGGUCUCUAUAUUUGCUCCUUUCAUCUGCCAGAGGAAGUAAACAACUGGGCUAGGCUCUGAACUAAACCCAUUUUAUUUUUGGUUUUGAGACACGAUCUCACUAAGAUUUUCAGGCUGACUUUGAACUUACUUUGUGGCCCAACUAAUACUUGAAUAUGUAACUCAGUUGAGUAGCUGGGAUGUGAAGUCUCUUUCUCUACCUUAAGGAUAUUUAAGAGUUCUUUCACAAGAAGAAGGAGGACUUUACUCUGACAUUAAUGUUGUAGGAGGCUGCUUGUUCAUUUCCCAGCUGCUCAGACUCUCAAUCACACAAAAACUGUAUUAAUUAAAUCACUGCUUGGCCAAUCACUACAGCAUAUUCCUAGCAAGCUCUUACAUAUUAAAUUAACCCAUUUCUAUUAUUUUAUAUUUUACCAUGAGGCUCAUGGCCUACCAUCAAGGUUCCAGCUAGCAGCUUGUGUCUUUCCCCUCUUGCGUCUACAUGGUGUCUCCUGUCUCUGCCUUCUUUCUCCCAGCAUUAAGUUUAGUUUUCCCCACCAACCUCUAUUCUGCCCUGUACAGGCCCAAAAUAGUUUUUUUUUUUUUUAUUAACCAAUGCUGUUCACACCACAAGAGGGGAAUUCCACAUCACCCAUUCUUUUUGUUUAAAUAAAAUGGAAGCUUUUAAUUUUAACAUAGUAAAAUUACAUCUACAAAACAGGUAUCAAGCGAGAAUUACAGUUACAAUAUUUGUAUCUACUUUAUCUUUUAUAAUAACCAAGGAAAGCUAUAAUUAUAACUAUUUAUUCUUCAACUCCAUCAAAGGCAACAAAAGGAUAAUAGGAAGUGCAUUGUAAGCCACUUCCAAAACUCUAGAAUUGACAGAGACAUCUUGCUGCCUGGACAGUCACACAAAUUCUUCUGUAUUAUUGGGGCAUCCAAUCUUUAGCCUACAGGCCCAUAGUAUCCAGCAGACUUUUCCAUGAAGCAGGAAAUUUCAAAGACAGUUCUGUCUAUAUUGGCAGCUUGUCAGUCACUUUCUUCUGUGUUCUGCGAAAUGUCUUGUAGACUCUUUUAUGAAGCAGUAACCCCGAAAGACAAUCUCACCUGUAGGCAAGUUCAGCAGUUAUUUAUCUGUGGGUCCUGCAUGCCCAGUUAAUACAGCAUAACAUCAAUCAGUCCAGGCAAGAGCAGUUUUUUGCCCAAACGGCUAACCAACUCUAUAAGGAGCUUCUUUGAUGCCCAUCAGCCUCUUGAAGUAAUUAGUGCUGCCAGAAGCAGACGUGUCUCAUUGUCA